GCCAGGUGUGGUAGCUCAAGCCUGUAGUCCCAGUUACUCAGGAGUCUGAGGUGGGAGGAUAGCUUGAGCCCAGGAAUUCAAGGCUGCAGUGAGCUAUGAUUAUGCUACUGCACUCCAGCCUGUGCAAUAGAGUAAGUUAUCUGAGUCUUCUUCCUAGGGUAUGUAUUUAUUUUUGAGACAGGAUCUUGCUCUGUUGCCCAGGCUGGAGUACAGUAGCAUAAUCAUAGCUCACUGCAGCCUUGAAUUCCUGGGCUCAAGCUAUCCUCCCACCUCAG
rnacentral:SRP_RNA from 1 species